AGGAAGAGGAGGAAGAGGAAGAGGAGGAGGGAGAGAGUGUGCAUUGAGCCACUGACUUCAGGCCAGUGUUCAGGUCCAUCUCUGCCCAUAUCACCCGUAUGGUUUCAGGAGUGUCCCAAGACCCCAGUUUCCUCUUUUGUCCAAAAGGAGGCUAUUGGGUCCUCCCCAGCUUCAAGCCCUCCAGAUCCUCUCUGCCCUGGAGCGGACACAGCUGAAGCUCCCCAUUCAGAAGUAAGUGGACUUUGAAGAGUAAAACCCCCAGAAUGCCCAGGCAGAGACAAAGCCCGUCCUGCUUUGCCUGCACUUAGAGCUCACACAUCCAGCCCAUGGAAGCAAAGUAUGUUCUUUUGGCUUUGCGACUUGGAAUCUCGCAAAGAUGGACAGAAGCAGCUACACCCAAAGAAAGAACACCGGGAAAUGAAUACAAACUGCUGGCAUUUCUGUUUUUCUUCCCGGGUUAUUUCUACCUUCUGAACCCAAUUCUCCCUGUGCAACAAGAGAACUGUUCGGUUCUGCACACAUGUAUUGUAUCUAGGAUAUACUGCAACCUAUUUAACAUGUAAAGGACCGCUUGCCAUUGGGGGGAGGGGGUGGAGGGAGGGGAAAAGUCGGAACAGAAGCGAGUGCAAGGGAUGAUGCUGUAAAAAAUUACCCUGGCAUGGGUUCUGUCAAUAAAAAGUUUUUUAAAAAAGAGACUUGGGAUCUCGGCUUUCCGAGAGCCUCCCCCUUUCUCCGUGUCUCUUGGAGAGAUUUUGUUGAAACUGUGGCUUCCAAAAAAGGCAAACCUUCCAGAGCCACGUCAGCCUCGCCCCUAGAACAUGUCCAGUUGCCUUCUCCCCGGUCUCCGGGAGUUCUCAGGACUGACCACUCUCCCAGGGUCCACUUACAGAACAGUUUUUUCUUCCAGUUAUUUAUGCCAAAGUCCAGGACUCUGGACUCCCCCAGCUUGUGGGCGGGGCUCUGGGGCUGUAAGGAAGGCAUCCUGUAGCCCCAGGAAAGCUGCGGUGCUGUCUAAGCAGAAGGUGCUGGUCAUUCACCAAACUAGCCUUUAGUAAGCACCUACUGUGUGCCUGACACCUGCUAAGACGUGAGGGGUGGGCACAGAAAGGCGACAACCAGCACUUCUAGAAGAGAAGGGAUGGGCGGGUGCUUGGAGGGGCCUGAGGCGCCCUAGGCUCCUCUAGGGCAGCUUUCCCUGGGCUCCCUCCCUGCUCUUCCAGAGCUGCCUCCCCUCCAUGGCUGGUAAAUAUUCUAAUAUGCAUCAAUUUUACAGGAGGAGGUUUUCACAGCAAACGCAGGGAAGGCAAAUACACAUUUAUCAGGGCCGGGGGGUGGGGGGGGGGGGGGGGGGGGGGGGGAACUGUGGCUAAUUUUCAGGUGAAAACAUCCCGGCGAGCAAGGCCCGUUUCUAUUCACGAAUCCCUGUGACUUUCCCUGGGGGCCCCUGAGACAUGCCCACCUGGCCUCUGCUCACCGGGCAGCCCCCGCUCUUCCCCGGGGCUCUCUGUGGGGUGCUCCGCCCCGGGGCUGCCGUGGUUCUGUGGCCAGGCUGUGUCGGGGCAUUCAGGCACGCCGGGGGCUUACUUCCAAUAGGAGGAGGCUCAGGGGAAGGAAGUGGCAGGAACCUCCUUCCUCCCUUCCGCAGCCCUCCCAGUAUGGAAAGUCCCGGGGCCUACGGGAGCCCGAGGGCUCACAGUCUAACAAAAGACAUUUAUCCUUGGCCAAGAAUCACAGAAUCAUCGAUUCAAAGCUGGAAGAGACUCGAGAAACCAUCGGCUCCAAUGCCUUCAUUUUUAUGGCUGAGGACACUGAGGCCCAGAAAGGUUCAGAAACGACCAAAGUCACGCAACUGGUGACGGUCGGAGACAGGAAGUGAGUUCAGGCCUUCCUGGCUUUGAUCUAGAAGCUAGCGCCAUAGAAUCUAGAACCACAGAACGCGGGGUUCCCCUUUCAGCUCUGCUUGUGCCCACUGACCUCAGCAGACCCCAGUAUAAUCUGUAUAAAAUAUGGAAAUUGGACCAGAGGACACAGAAUUCGCUUUGGAGACCGGGAGGUGGCAGAAUAAAAUAUGAUGGGCAGGGCCGUGACUUUGGAGUCACAGGUCCUGGGUUCAAAUCUCUCAUCUUACUUGUACCUCUCAGGUAGAUGACAUCCCCUGUGUGGGCUCAGGAGGACAAAAGGCAAGUCUGCAACCUGUCCCUGUGGAUGAGGGGACCGUGCCAUUAGACAAGCCUCAGAGGUGACUAGAAGAUGGAACAUGGUCCCUGACGAUCUCCUUCACACCAAGAAUUUGACUUGCACUUAGUAACUAAUUAAAUUAACUGGGCCUUAAUUGGCAACAAGAACAAACAAGAGACGAGUGGCCAGGAUGAGAAGUUCAAGUGACCCUGAUGACUCGAGCUAGGAAUUCUGCCAAAGCCUUCUCCAACCCAGGUAGUUCUUGGAACCUCAGUUUCCUCAUCUGCAAAAUGAAGCUUCCAGCCUUGAUGGCCUGUAUCGUCCCUCUCAGUCUGAAGACUGUGAGUCCCGAGAACUCCCGGAGACCGUGGAGAAGCUCAGUGGCACUGUAGGGCAGUGCUGUGGCUCUGGAUGAUGGGAGGUGCUCUCACCCUCGCCCAGUCACCACUGCAGUGAAACGAGGCUGCGUACAGUUCCCAGACUUUUUAGCCUGGUGUUUCAGAAAUGUCAGAUGCCUUCAGUGGGGACAACCACGGCUCUAGGUCAGCCAGCACAGCUCUAGGUCAGUUACCACGGCUCUAGGUCAGCCACCACGGCUCUAGGUCAGCCACCACGGCUCUAGGUCAGCCACCACGGCUCUAGGUCAGUUAUCACAUCUCUAGGUCAGCCACCACGGCUCUAGGUCAGCCACCAUGGCUCUAGGUCAGUUACCACAGCUCUAAGUCAGCCACCACGGCUAUAGGUCAGCCACCACGGCUCUAGGUCAGCCACCACGGCUCUAGGUCAGUUACCACGGCUCUAGGUCAGCCACCACGGCUCUAGGUCAGCCACCACGGCUCUAGGUCAGCCACCACGGCUCUAGGUCAGCCACCACGGCUCUAGGUCAGUUAUCACAUCUCUAGGUCAGCCACCACGGCUCUAGGUCAGCCACCACGGCUCUAGGUCAGUUAUCACAUCUCUAGGUCAGCCACCACGGCUCUAGGUCAGUUAUCACAUCUCUAGGUCAGCCACCACGGCUCUAGGUCAGUUAUCACAUCUCUAGGUCAGCCACCACGGCUCUAGGUCAGUUAUCACAUCUCUAGGUCAGCCACCACGGCUCUAGGUCAGUUAUCACAUCUCUAGGUCAGCCACCACGGCUCUAGGUCAGUUACCACGGCUCUAGGUCAGUUACCACGGCUCUAGGUCAGCCACCACGGCUCUAGGUCAGUUACCACGGCUCUAGGUCAGCCACCACGGCUCUAGGUCAGCCACCACGGCUCUAGGUCAGUUAUCAUAUUGCUAGGUCAGUUACCAUGCCGAUGGCAAAGUCUUCAAUCUGAAGCCUAGAAGCCAAAACUAGAGUGGGGGGAGCGAGGGUGCUUUGUAGGUUGCGGAUGAUUGUGCCCCGGAUUCAGCCUCUGACGCUGAGACGCACCGAGGAACGGAUGGGGUCUCUGAUCCCGGCUCAACGCCACCCAGAAAGCACAGGUCCCCGCCGCACUCUCGCCAAGCACGUGCACCUCAGACUGGUUAUGGAAACCUCGCCCGGGGCCGGAGCCCCCGCGGCCAGAAGGGCCCAAGGAGGCUCCCCAGGUCUCUCGGGAGAGCUUUGGAAUCGAUAGGAGAGACCCCGGCACAGGAGCCCCGGCGCCUCCUACAGAAGCCCUGUGCUCCCGGGGAGAAGGGAGUAGCUCAGAGGAGACCCGGCCGCACAGGGUUACGUUCCCACUCCCAAUGUUGGCUCUGUGGGGGCAUCGGGGGCACAGCGCCAGGGCGGGGGGCAGCUCCCCCUCCUCUCCCAGCACAAGGAGACUGAGCCAGGCAAGAGCGAUCUCGGGGCUCGGAAGCUCCCCACAAACAGGAGUCACAGGGAUUCGGGAGAACCUUCGCUCUGGAGAUGGCGCGCCCAAGGGCUUCCUGAUUGUGCCCCAAAGGGCUGCUUCCCAGCAGGGCAGGAGAGCCUCGAGUCCUGGAUGUGACUAAGGCCCUGAGCACAGAGUGCAGGCCGGCAGCCUCCUCCGGGCCGGACCGUGAACCCGCUCAGAAGCAAGCCCGGGUCUCGGAAUGUGCGUGUGGGGGGGUGAGGUCCUAGUCAUUCUAAAGAGCCUCCCACAGGCACGGCCGUCCACGCGCUGGCUUCCCGGACUCCUUUUGGACAGUUCCCAGGCAGCCUCUCUCCCUCCGCAAACGUUCCCUUGGCUCGGCCUCCGCUGCCCCGGUGGCUUCCUUGGUGCCUCCACGGACCCAGAGCCCAGUCUUUGGAAACCCAAGUUUUAAUAAAGGAAGGUUAGCCUUUGGGGAGGGGCAGGUGGAGGCCCUUCUGUGGCCCAAUCUCCGGAGCUGCCUCCCGGGAGGCCGGCUGUCAGAAGGAGGGUGGGAGGGAGGGCGGCAGCUCAUAGAGAAAUGGAGCUCCCUUCUCCUCCCCACCCCCGUCUCCCAGCUUCGGGGCUGGAGACGCUGACGGGGACAUCUUGUCGGUGUCCAAGCCUAGAUGGCAAAGAGCCACGGGGCUGGCGGGGGAGGAACGCGUGGCCCUGAGGGUGCUUUUGGUGCCGGGGCCUUGGGAUGAGGGGCAGCAGACCUGCCCCUGCCCCCUCCCCGGUCUUGGUCUGGCCGGAGCAGAGCGCCUUUGGGGGCAUCUUCCCUCCUCAGGGAGCAUCAGUGGGGAGGCUUUGGACAGCGACGUCUGGGGCAUGGGAAGGGGACCUGGGAACUCCCAUUGCGGAUUCCUUUCCUGUCAGUUCAAUAAAAAUAAAACUGAGACAGAACAGUUAGCCAGCUCCUGGCAGAAAUGGCCGCCCCCUAGGGCUAGAUUCUAAGCGGGCAUCAGGGCAGGAGAUCAGGGUCAGCGGGCACCAGGGCAGGAGGUCAGGGUCAGCGGGCACCAGGGCAGGAGGUCAGGGUCAGCGGGCACCAGGGCAGGAGGUCAGGGUCGGCGGGCACCAGGGCAGGAGGUCAGGGUCGGCGGGCACCAGGGCAGGAGGUCAGGGUCGGCGGGCACCAGGGCAGGAGGUCAGGGUCGGCGGGCACCAGGGCAGGAGGUCAGGGUCGGCGGGCACCAGGGCAGGAGGUCAGGGUCGGCGGGCACCAGGGCAGGAGGUCAGGGUCAGCGGGAACCAGGGCCUGGCUCCCACAUUGACUCCCCUGGUGGGAGCCUUGAAUCUAGGCAAAGUGGGCAGCUGGGUGCUGACAUCCCAGGCCAGGAGACAGGGUGGAUAAUCUAGGAGGAAAUGAAAGGUGGGAGGAAGUGAUGCUCUUCCAUUACUCUGCUGGUCCUCUGGGAGCAAUAGUCACUUAUGGCACUCUCAGGUCUGCAAAGCGCUUCACAGUCAUUCCCUGAUUUGAUCUUCACAACCCCCUGGGCUGGAAGUGAUUCCCAUCUCCUGUUCUACAGAUGAGGCAGCUGAGGCAGAGAGACGGGGUCACUUGCCUAGGAUUACCUGGCUGGUGGCUGCAGGAGCCAGAGGCCUCCACACAAGGACAUCCUCUGCUCUCCAGUGGAUAAAUCCUGCCCCGAAGUCCUUCUCCAAUGCUUGGUCUGGCAGAGAAGGGCCCCUGCACACGAGAAGGAAGAGCCCCUGCACACGAGAAGGGCCCCUGCACACGAGAAGGAAGGGCCCCUGCACACGAGAAGGGCCCCUGCACACGAGAAGGAAGGGCCCCUGCACACGAGAAGGGCCCCUGCACACGAGAAGGGUCCCUGCACACGAGAAGGAAGAGCCCCUGCACACGAGAAGGGCCCCUGCACACGAGAAGGAAGAGCCCCUGCACACGAGAAGGGCCCCUGCACA